ensembl:lncRNA
UUCAGGUAAAGGCUCACAUCCCAUGUGGUCCAGGGUUUCCCUGAAUAGCAUGUCCCUGAGUGGAUUAGCGUAUCUUCAAGGGAGGGGAUUACCACUUAGCGAUCCGUCUGGACCUCAAACAUCACCAGCCGGGCGCAGUCAGAAGUCAGGGCAUUCCGACGGGAUACUUCAACUGCCCUCAAACUGAUCCUCUCCUCGUCCGGCCACCUGAGAGAACCGGGAAAAAAAACGCAGCGAUGUCCAAGGAGAAGCUGGAGAGCCUGGUGCUUCGCAUGGAGGAGACGCUGUCGGAGAUGGAGCAGCUGAAAGCCCACUGCGGGAAGCAGAGCGGGGAGCUCAGCCAGCUGGUGGUGGAACUCCGGCGGGAGAACCAGGAGCUGAUGGAGCGCUACGAGGAGCUGGCCCAGGACAUGAAGGAGGCCAAGGAGAUCAUCGAGCAGCUGCAGGACACCAGGUACGCCUUUGAGGCCAAGGAGCGGCAGGCGCAGAAGCUCCGCCGGCAGCUUUGAAGAAGCUCCUCCAGAGGAACCGGGAAGAGGAACCCUGGAGAGAUGAAGGCUGUAGAGAGGCUGGUGUUGGACGCUACAGGAGGAGGUCUCUUGGGUUUCCUGGCACUGGAUCUAAAUGUGUGUGGGGGGGGAACUGCAUGUGGUGGGACGUCCUGUAUGGUUGUGGCUGGAACAUAUAGGUCUUGUACCCAGACAGAACAUAUGUGUACAUUUUAGGGAUGGGAGGGACCAAUGUAAAGCUAAGGAAGUUUCAACGUCAACCAGGGUCUUGUGGGUUUGGAGCUCUUGUUAAUGCCAUGGAGAGAAGUAAUGACCAGGAAUCAAAGUUGGGUUUCUUGGGGAAAAUUUCGGGUGCGGACAAUGUGGAAUUUGUUUGAAAAGGGGGUUCAUUUUUUUUUUUUCUCCCAAAGUGGGAAUGGAUGUUGUUUCGAACUCUUUACAUUUCUAUAACUAUCCAAAGCCUGUCUGCUCCCACCUUAAAGACAGUUUUUGGAUCAAGGGGCGGAACCACGGACAAACAUCGGGGGGUCCAACUGUCACCCCUCCCCAAAACUGAUUUUCCCAGAAUUCUGAUAUUUAUACAUGAAAAUGUGCACAUUUAGAACAUACUGUAUAUUUGAGGACUGCUGACCAAAUCAAACCCCUGAGAUUAGCAUCACAGCCCAGAACGACGCACGGUGGAUUAGAACCUCAGGAGUAGUCAUUCUGUGCUUCGGAGAACUGAUUCUUAGAUUCUUAAAACUUCAGGAGAACUCAGAUUCUUAGAACUUAUUCUGAGCUCCUUAAAUGACAAUUAAAAGCGCCAACAUUUUGAAUCUGAGUAUCUACAUGUCUGGGCUGGCUGACCCUGGGCGCAACCAUGUGUUCAAUAUGGGGGGUAGAGGUCAUGCACUUUUCGUGUGUUUUUGUUUGUUUGCAUUUUCUUGACAAACGCAAAUCAAUUGAACAUAAAUAGGAACUAACGAGACAGAUCUGUUGACGGUGUUAGUUAAAGGAGGGCAUUUUUAACAUGUUCUACUACUGUAUAUCCCCCCCCACCCCAAGAAUGUGUGUGGUUACACCCAUGUGUUGGAUAUUAUCUUAACCGAACCAGGGCCCAGAAGAAGUGGGUGGUCACCUUUUAGUGGAGCUGAGUCUGUAAUAAACAUGGCUGAUCAUUCUUCUCCACCCAAAUCCUUGCCUUUCUUUGAUUUACUUUUUACACCUCUUCCCUGGGUCAGAAAACCAGAAGCAGGAGAAAACGAUUACCUGAUUUCUUUCUCCCACUCCAACCAAAUAAAUGAUUGUUGAUCAUUGACUAAGUUAAAGUUGGCAAGGGGAACACCGAGUUGCAGGUCUUUUGCUGCGGCGGCCUUCAAAACAUUCCGGAUUCCCAGUAAACGUCUCACGGCCCUCCCUCGGGAUGCAGGAAGAAACAAACACCUCCCCGCGUCACAACCUCGCCUCUCCCUGGCGUCGAG